CAUAAAAUAAGCAAAAAUCAUCACACACUGUUCUGUAGGCUCAUAGUAUCUAUUUGGAGCUCAAUGUAGAUUUAUGCAGCAUAAAUACAGUGUAUUACUGAGAUAUUUGUUUCAAAUUUCUAAAUGUUCAAAUUGAAGAGAUAUAUACGGUAUGUAUGUAUAUAAUUGUUUGAAAUCAAGAACCAUAUUAUCCAAAUAUGGGAAUGUAGGUUUUCAAGAACCUGAAAGUUCAAGUUAUGUGAAAGUUACCAGUAAUGACAUCCUGUGAUGUAGAUGGAGAAUGUUAAAAGGAAAGUCUGCUCAACCUUUUUAUCAAUACAACUACAUGCUUUCUUCUAUUUUUGGUUAAUUUGAUUAAUCCAUUUGGUUCAUUCGUUCAUUGGUUAGUACUUAAUGUAAUUAUUGUUCAAAACAAAUGUAUAAAAGGCCUUUGGCUUGUCAUGACAGCCAUAUUUCUCUGAGCUGAAUUUAAAAUAAAAUGGAUAAUAAAACCUAAUAGUUUAUAUAGUCAUCAGGUAAAAUAUUCUACUUCUUAAACUGGCCUGUUUAUAACUACUGCAGUUUGUGUAGUAACUAUUUUGAAUUGUGUUUACCUUAUUUAGUCUAGCCUUGUAUGAAAUCCUAUGGCCUUUAAUUGGUUACAGCUUCAACGCUGCGUUGUCAGACGCACGCCUGUAGGUGGCAUUGAAUCACUUAUAUUUCUAUAUGUUGACUCCAUCCGCCUAAACGCUGCAGCCGUCGUCAGUUUGUGUCCCUGCAAGGCUCCUCAGCCUCUGCUGUAGGCCCGAGGUUUGGUGUGGUGGACUGGAGCUGUUGGCCUACUUUUGCUUAUGAAAUAAUGUAUUAACAACUGAAACCACAGCUGAGACCAUAGCCCACAGAGUCUUAGCUUUAACAUUUUAAAGACUGUAGAGAGUUUCGCAAAGGCUUCUAAAGGAGCUGCUUCCAGAGGAACAGCAGAGUGGAGUCCAGGAGAUGAAGUUUGGCAAGAAGCAUGUGGAACAGUUUCUACCUGCAUGCAGAGAAGCAAGAAGUAAAAGAAGCAAAGAAAGCAGAAACUCCCGAGUCUCAGCUCCCCUCCCAUUCUGCGAGCGAGGAGAGAUAACGAGAGGGAGCAGACAGCCCAAAACUUCACACAAAGAGGAGAGGAAUCAGCACAACGCACCAUCUCAGCCUUCACUCAGAGAAACUUUCUCUUCAUCUCCGUCUCCUUUCUCCUCCGUCUGUUUUGCGGCAGUCUUCAAAUGCUUGUUCAAACUUGUUCAUAUACGCCUACUGAUCAAGUAGGGGACAGCUGCACUUGUGUAACUCAAACAUUGGAGGGCUCUCUGGAAACAAGUCCAAUUUGAAUGUAGUAUAUAAACAAAACUCAAUUUUGGUGUAGCUCAAGGCGGAAACAGCUGACAGAGACGCUUUAAGUCUGUGACUCAUAACUAUGAGGAGUGUUGGUUCGUAGCUGCUGCUACACAAUGCGUGUUCCUGCGUGUGCACUUGGCUUGCACGCUGUAUUUAGUGUGUAUGUGGGUUUGCCUGCGCUUACUGUACGUGUAUUCAUGCAUGUAUGUUGCGACUCAGUGGGACAGAGGCUCGUCCCCCUCUAGAGCACCAUGCUCUGAUGGAUGUUAAUGUGGACUGACGCAGGGGUGUCCCCCGAGGGAGGGAACACGG